GUCCAGGCAGCGGCGGCCUGCCAGCCUGCCUGCUUGCCCAGAGUGGCGGCGGCCAGCCAGCCUGCCUGCCUGCACAGGGCAGCGGUGGCAAGGCAGCAAGAAGGCACACCACUCCCGUUAACAUCCAUUUGAGGGUUGAAAAUCAGACUUUCUUGACAGUUCAAGAGUGUAAACCGAACUUUUCCCAGCAGAAAAGGGUGAAAACAAGUUUAGAUCGUGGCCAUACUAAAACUAGCCAAAACUCUACAUAUGAUGUGCGGGGCCAUAUGCUAAUAAUUUAUUGUUUAUUAAAAUAAAUUCAAAUGAUAUGUGGUUUUCUAGAUCUAACUGCUACGAAUAUUUUGGUACAAUCAAUUUGCAAAUCGGAUAUAUGGUUUAAGACUUAUUGUCAUUUAAGUAUACUUGGUCUCAAACUCUUAGAUUCUAUUGAAGGACUGCCAAUUUUUACAGACACAUUUUUGUAAGAUUUUUGUGGACUCAAAAGUAAACACGCCCAGAGGCAGGAGCGUCAGCAUUUUUAUGAAACUAAUUAAGGCUAUGGAAUGUGGUAUCGAGGAGUUCUCGGAGUCUCAGAGAGACGGAGACAAGAGUGGAAGGACAAGAUGGGACGUCAAGCAAUUGAGCAUCAAGAUGUAAAGAGAGGACGGUGCGGUCUAUUUUUUUUCUGGGUCCCUGUUGACGCGAAGGCAGCUUUUUAAGAGUGUGAUUGCUGGUGGGGCCGGUGUUUAGUCUUGAUCUUGCUGCCGCUGUCGAGUGGAGUGGUGUUGUCGAGUGAAGUGGUGUGGUCGCGUUGAUGUUCCAAUCCAAUCGAUCGGUAUUUUUUUUUA